rnacentral:rRNA from 1 species
CCUACGGGUGACAGCAGUGAGGAAUAUUGGUCAAUGGACGAGAGUCUGAACCAGCCAAGUAGCGUGAAGGAUGACUGCCCUAUGGGUUGUAAACUUCUUUUAUAUGGGAAUAAAAUGUUCCACGUGUGGGAUUUUGUAUGUACCAUAUGAAUAAGGAUCGGCUAACUCCGUGCCAGCAGCCGCGGUAAUACGGAGGAUCCGAGCGUUAUCCGGAUUUAUUGGGUGUAAAGGGAGCGUAGGUGGAUUGUUAAGUCAGUUGUGAAAGUUUGCGGCUCAACCGUAAAAUUGCAGUUGAAACUGGCAGUCUUGAGUACAGUAGAGGUGGGCGGAAUUCGUGGUGUAGCGGUGAAAUGCUUAGAUAUCACGAAGAACUCCGAUUGCGAAGGCAGUUCACUGGACUGCAACUGACACUGAGGCUCGAAAGUGUGGGUAUCAAACAGGAUUAGAUACCCGGGUAGUC